UCCCUCUUUUGUGCACAGUUUGGUUCC
rnacentral:piRNA from 1 species